rnacentral:rRNA from 1 species
AUUGAACGCUGGCGGCAGGCUUAACACAUGCAAGUCGAGCGGGGGAAGGUAGCUUGCUACCGGACCUAGCGGCGGACGGGUGAGUAAUGCUUAGGAAUCUGCCUAUUAGUGGGGGACAACAUCUCGAAAGGGAUGCUAAUACCGCAUACGUCCUACGGGAGAAAGCAGGGGAUCUUCGGACCUUGCGCUAAUAGAUGAGCCUAAGUCGGAUUAGCUAGUUGGUGGGGUAAAGGCCUACCAAGACGACGAUCUGUAGCGGGUCUGAGAGGAUGAUCCGCCACACUGGGACUGAGACACGGCCCAGACUCCUACGGGAGGCAGCAGUGGGGAAUAUUGGACAAUGGGGGAGACCCUGAUCCAGCCAUGCCGCGUGUGUGAAGAAGGCCUUAUGGUUGUAAAGCACUUUAAGCGAGGAGGAGGCUACUCUAGUUAAUACCUAGGGAUAGUGGACGUUACUCGCAGAAUAAGCACCGGCUAACUCUGUGCCAGCCGCCGCGGUAA